AGAAACUUAGGAUACUUAAACCAUGAGCCUUCAAAGCUCAAAACAUGGGUUACCCCCAUAAUUUCU
rnacentral:tRNA from 1 species